rnacentral:rRNA from 1 species
GAAGUUGGAAUCGCUAGUAAUCGCGAAUCAGAAUGUCGCGGUGAAUACGUUCCCGGGUCUUGUACACACCGCCCGUCACACCACGAGAGUUUACAACACCCGAAGUCAGUGGCCUAACCGCAAGGAGGGAGCUGCCUAAGGUGGGGUAGAUGAUUGGGGUGAAGUCGUAACAAGGUACC